CAAGAGAGUUAGCAAUAACUCAUAACCCUUUGUGAACAUACCUUCUUGUCAGUUGCUUCGGCGGGAGGCUUCCCCGGAAGGGGGGCCGACCGCCGGAGGGACGCACCCCAAACUCUUGCUGUACCACAGUGGCACAUCCGAGUCAAAACAAACAAACAAAUCA
rnacentral:misc_RNA from 1 species